rnacentral:rRNA from 1 species
CGGACGGGUGAGUAACGCGUGAGAAUCUGCCCUCAGGACGGGGACAACAGCUGGAAACGGCUGCUAAUACCCGAUGUGCCGAGAGGUGAAAUGUAAUUCGCCUGAGGAUGAGCUCGCGUCUGAUUAGCUAGUUGGUAGGGUAAGAGCCUACCAAGGCGACGAUCAGUAGCUGGUCUGAGAGGAUGAUCAGCCACACUGGGACUGAGACACGGCCCAGACUCCUACGGGAGGCAGCAGUGGGGAAUUUUCCGCAAUGGGCGCAAGCCUGACGGAGCAAGACCGCGUGCGGGAUGAAGGUCUGUGGACUGUAAACCGCUUUUGAUAGGGAAGAACACAAUGACGGUACCUAUCGAAUCAGCCUCGGCUAACUCCGUGCCAGCAGCCGCGGUAAUACGGAGGAGGCAAGCGUUAUCCGGAAUUAUUGGGCGUAAAGCGUCCGUAGGUGGUGAUGCAAGUCUAUUGUCAAAGCAUGAGGCUUAACCUCAUACCGGCAGUGGAAACUGCAUUGCUAGAGUGCGAUAGGGGCAAGGGGAAUUCCCAGUGUAGCGGUGAAAUGCGUAGAUAUUGGGAAGAACAUCGGUGGCGAAAGCGCCUUGCUGGGUCUGCACUGACACUGAGGGUCGAAAGCUAGGGGAGCGAAAGGGAUUAGAUACCCCUGUAGUC